GAUGAACGCUGGCGGCGUGCCUAAUACAUGCAAGUCGAGCGAACAGACGAGAAGCUUGCUCCUCUGACGUUAGCGGCGGACGGGUGAGUAACACGUGGAUAACCUACCUAUAAGACUGGGAUAACUUCGGGAAACCGGAGCUAAUACCGGAUGAUAUAUUGAACCGCAUGGUUCAAUAGUGAAAGACGGUCUUGCUGUCACUUAUAGAUGGAUCCGCGCUGCAUUAGCUAGUUGGUAAGGUAACGGCUUACCAAGGCAACGAUGCGUAGCCGACCUGAGAGGGUGAUCGGCCACACUGGAACUGAGACACGGUCCAGACUCCUACGGGAGGCAGCAGUAGGGAAUCUUCCGCAAUGGGCGAAAGCCUGACGGAGCAACGCCGCGUGAGUGAUGAAGGUCUUCGGAUCGUAAAACUCUGUUAUUAGGGAAGAACAAAUGUGUAAGUAACUAUGCACGUCUUGACGGUACCUAAUCAGAAAGCCACGGCUAACUACGUG
rnacentral:rRNA from 1 species